rnacentral:tRNA from 1 species
GGCGGGAUGUCUGUUGGGUAUGGCCGCGCGGUUUCAUACGCCGCCGCGACGGUGGUUCGAGUCCACCUCCCGCAACCA